rnacentral:rRNA from 1 species
CACAUGCAAGUCGAACGGGAAAGGGACUCCAGUCCUGAGUACAGUGGCGUACGGGUGAGUAACACGUGGAUAAUCUGCCCUUUGGUGGGGAAUAACCCUGGGAAACGGGGGCUAAUACCGCAUAAGACUGAGAAGGCAUUGCCCACUGGCGCCAAAGGAGGAGACCUCGGCCGAUUACCUAGUUGGAGGAGUCACCGCUCACCUAGGUAAAUAUCGGUGGCCGGGCUGACAGGGGACACGAUCGCUCUGUGGCUGAAACACGAGGAAGACUCCUACGGGAGGUGACACUGGGGAAUCAUGCCUAAUGGGGGAAACCCUGAUGAAUCUACCCCACGGGAGUAAUGAAUCCCUUCGGGGUGUAAAGCUCUUUCUGAAGGAAUUAUGAUGACAGUACUUGCUCAAAAGGCUGCAGCUAACUACUUGCCAUCUCCCUCGGUAUUACCUAUGCCCUAAGCGUUGUUCGGAGUUACUGGGCGUACAGAGUGCGUAGGCAGUUGCACGAGUCUAGUGUGAAAUCUCCCGGCUUAACUGGGAGGGUGCGCCGGAGACUGCUUGGCUCUAAUAUGGGAGACGAAAGCUCAAUUCCCGGUGUACCGUGGAAAUGCGUAGAUUUCAGGAGGAACAACUGUGGUGUAAACCGCUUUCUGGACCAUCACUGACUCUAAGGCACGAAGGCGUGCGGAGCAAACAGGAUUAGAUACCCUGGUAGUCCACGCCCUAAACGAUGCGCACGUGGUGUGGGCAGUUCAUUCUGUCAGUGCCGGAGCUAACGCGUUAAGUGCUCCGCCUGGGGAGUACGGUC